ensembl:lncRNA
UGUGGAUCAGGAUGUGGAUCAGGAUGUGGAUGUGGAUCAGGAUGUAAAUUAGGAUGUGGAUGUGGAUCAGGAUGUGAAUCAGGGUGUGGAUGUGGAUCAGGAUGUGGAUCAGGAUGUGGAUGAGGAUCAGGAUGUAGAUCAGGACCUGUGGAUCAGGACCUGUGGAUCAGGAUGUGGAUCAGUAUGUUGAUCAGGAUGUGGAUCAGUAUGUUGAUCAGGAUGUGGAUGUGGAUCAGGGUGUGUAUCAGGAUCAGGGUGUGGAUCAGGAUGUGGAUCAGAAUCUGGAUGUGUAUCAGGGUGUGAAGCAGGGUGUGGAUGUGGAUCAGGAUGUGGAUGUGGAUGUGGAUCAGGAUGUGAAUCAGGGUGUGGUGGGGAUCAAGAUCAGGAUGUGGAUCAGGAUGUGGAUGAGGAUCAGGAUGUGGAUCAGGGUGUGGAUGUGAAUCAGGGUGUGGAUGUGGAUCAGGAUGUGGAAUCGGAUGAGGAUCAGGAUGUGGAUUAGGAUGUGGAGGUGGAUCAGGAAGUUGAUGUGGAUCAGGAUGUGGAUCAGGAUGUGGAUGUGGAUCAGUAUGUGGAUGUGUAUCAGGGUGUGAAGCAGGGUGUGGAUGUGGAUCAGGAUGUGGAUCAGGAUGUGGAUGUGGAUCAGGAUGUGAAUCAGGGUGUGGAUGUGGAUCAGGAUCAGGAUGUGGAUCAGGAUGUGGAUGAGGAUCCGGAUGUGGAUCAGGGUGUGGAUGUGGAUCAGGAUGUGAAUCAGGGUGUGGAUCAGAAUCUGGAUGUGUAUCAGGGUGUGAAGCAGGGUGUGGAUCAGGAUGUGGAUCUGAAUCUGGAUGUGUAUCAGGGUGUGAAGCAGGGUGUGGAUGUGGAUCAGAAUGUGGAUGUGGAUCAGGAUGUGAAUCAGGGUGUGGUGGGGAUCAAGAUCAGGAUGUGGAUCAGGAUGUGGAUCAGGAUGUGGAUGAGGAUCAGGAUGUGGAUCAGGGUGUGGAUGUGGAUCAGGAUGUGGAUGUGGAUCAGGAUGUGAAUCAGGGUGUGGUGGGUAUCAAGAUCAGGAUGUGGAUCAGGAUGUGGAUGAGGAUCAGGAUGUGGAUCAGGGUGUGGAUGUGAAUCAGGGUGUGGAAUCGGAUGAGGAUCAGGAUGUGGAUUAGGAUGUGGAGGUGGAUCAGGAAGUUGAUGUGGAUCAGGAUGUGGAUCAGGAUGUGGAUGUGGAUCAGUAUGUUGAUCAGGAUGUGGAUGUGGAUCAGGAUGUGGA